CGGGGGGAGCAAGCGUUGUUCGGAUUUACUGGGCGUAAAGGGCGCGUAGGCGGCCACCGCAAGUCGACUGUGAAAUCUCCGGGCUUAACCCGGAAAGGUCAGCCGAUACUGCGGGGCUAGAGUGCAGAAGGGGCAACUGGAAUUCUCGGUGUAGCGGUGAAAUGCGUAGAUAUCGAGAGGAACACCUGCGGCGAAGGCGGGUUGCUGGGCUGACACUGACGCUGAGGCGCGAAAGCUAGGGGAGCGAACGGGAUUAGAUACCCCGGUAGUCCUAGCCUUAAACGAUGAAUGCUUGGUGUCUGGGGUUUUAUAGUCCCCGGGUGCCGUCGCUAACGCUUUAAGCAUUCCGCCUGGGGAGUACGGUCGCAAGGCUG
rnacentral:rRNA from 1 species